GAUGAAGAACGCAGCGAAAUGCGAUAAGUAAUGUGAAUUGCAGAAUUCAGUGAAUCAUCGAAUCUUUGAACGCACAUUGCGCCCGCCAGUAUUCUGGCGGGCAUGCCUGUCCGAGCGUCAUUUCAACCCUCGAACCCCUCCGGGGGGUCGGCGUUGGGGAUCGGCCCUGCCUCUUGGCGGUGGCCGUCUCCGAAAUACAGUGGCGGUCUCGCCGCAGCCUCUCCUGCGCAGUAGUUUGCACACUCGCAUCGGGAGCGCGGCGCGUCCACAGCCGUUAAACACCCAACUUCUGAAAUGUUGACCUCGGAUCAGGUAGGAAUACCCGCUGAACUUAAGCAUAUCAAUAAGCGGAGGA
rnacentral:misc_RNA from 1 species